UAGAUGGUAACCAUGGAAACAGACGUUCCCUUGUCUCUUCUAUGGGUUGAAGAGUUCCGCCAGCCAAUACGACAGCGUGGGCUUGAUCCACUAUCUACAUAAUGAUUUUCGAAACAUUUUCCUUAUUAAAGUGCUGAAACUGUUUGUCUUAGAAACAAAGAGAGUCACUCAUCAAGAAGGGCCAACCUCUGAGAAUAUCUUCUCUCCAAGGUUUGAGGAGAGCUCGGGUGAGAACCAACAGAGUCUGGAUAUAUCUACGGUUUCCAGCCCCCAACAGAUUGCGGAAUCGGCCAAGGCCAAGAGAUUCUCGGGAUGGCUUUGACAGAAGAGACUGAUAUGGAAGAACAACAAGGUCAGCGGCAGGAAGCAUCCUUCUAGAACCAUAG